rnacentral:rRNA from 1 species
GAUGAACGCUAGCGACAGGCCUAACACAUGCAAGUCGAGGGGCAGCGGGAGAGUGGCAACACUCUCGCCGGCGACCGGCGCACUGGUGAGUAACACGUAUGCGACCUGCCCCGGACAGGGGGAUAAACCCGGGAAACUGGGCCUAAUACCCCAUAUGCCCUGGGAAUGCAUGUUCCCAAGGUGAAAGAUCCGUCGGUCCGGGAUGGGCAUGCGGCGCAUUAGCUUGUUGGCGGGGCAACGGCCCACCAAGGCGACGAUGCGUAGGGGUUCUGAGAGGAAGGUCCCCCACACUGGUACUGAGACACGGACCAGACUCCUACGGGAGGCAGCAGUGAGGAAUAUUUGGUCAUGGGUCGGGAGACUGAACCAGCCAAGUCGCGUGCGGGAAGAAGGCCCUCCGGGUCGUAAACCGCUUUAGCCGGGGAGUAACGUGGGGGUCGUGACCCUCAGUGAGAGUACCCGGAGAAUAAGCAUCGGCUAACUCCGUGCCAGCAGCCGCGGUAAUACGGAGGAUGCGAGCGUUAUCCGGAUUUAUUGGGUUUAAAGGGUGCGCAGGCGGUCUGUCAAGUCAGCGGUCAAACUGCGGCGCUCAACGCCGUACCGCCGUUGAAACUGGCGGACUCGAGUGUGUGGGAGGAUGGCGGAAUGCGCGGUGUAGCGGUGAAAUGCAUAGAUAUCGCGCAGAACCCCGAUUGCGAAGGCAGCUGUCCACCACGCCACUGACGCUCAUGCACGAAAGCGUGGGUAUCGAACA